rnacentral:rRNA from 1 species
GCCCGUGAUCAUAUCACCCGGAAUGUGCACCGAUCUUACAAGAUCUCGGAAGCUAAGCAGGCUUGGGCCUGGGUAGUGUUAGAAUGGGCGGCCGGAAUGUGCGGGUGACCACCAUUA